AAAGAUUAAGCCAUGCAUGUCUAAGUAUAAGCACUUUAUACUGUGAAACUGCGAAUGGCUCAUUAAAUCAGUUAUCGUUUAUUUGAUAGUACCUUACUACAUGGGUACCUGUGGUAAUUCUAGAGCUAAUACAUGCUGAAAACCUCGACUUCGGAAGGGGUGUAUUUAUUAGAUAAAAAACCAAUGCCCUUCGGGGCUCCUUGGUGAAUCAUAAUAACUUAACGAAUCGCAUGGCCUUGCGCCGGCGAUGGUUCAUUCAAAUUUCUGCCCUAUCAACUUUCGAUGGUAGGAUAGUGGCCUACCAUGGUGG
rnacentral:rRNA from 1 species